UUGGGAAGUUUUCACUUGAAACCACAGUUCACAGAAAAGAACCAAAGAUCUUUCUGUUUCCCAAUCAAUCCUAUUUAUAUCUGCAACUCCAAUACAUAAUCUUUUGAAUUCUUGGUAAAGCUAGAAAAAUAGCACAUAAUAAAAAAGAAAAAAAAAACAAAAACAUAAAAAUUCCAGAAAGCUUACUUCGUAAUCCUACUGACUGAAUUAGAAAAUAAAAUUCAUCUAUUUAUUGAGAAAAUUUGGAUAUGAGAUAUGACUGCUGCUGCCCGGUGGUGUUGUGCUGUUGUUGGUAGAUCCAUUUCCUUCAUUGGUGUUGUUCUCUGAAAAUUUUCAUAAUGUCUUAAUCAUCAAUCAAUGUGUUAUGGCGGUAGCUCCACUCCUCCCCCAGAGUUUAAUCGAGAUCAUUGUUGAGCACACUGCACUCUCUGUGCACCACCGUGCAUAUCCUCAUCUUCAUCGUAUGCCUCUUGUGCUUGCUUCCUGCGCAUCUCCUCUUCAAUGUUGACAUCGUGGAGAGUGGUCUCUUCACAUUCAUCCAAUUCCAUAUCUGAGAGCUGCACUGAGGUCCUGGGAGGCAGAACGCCCUCCAGCGCCUUGCACUGUUCGGGGUUCAAGGAGUCUGGGAACUCAACACUGAAGUGGAUGUAAAGUUUGCCCUUCAUGAAUGGCCUCUGGUACAUAGGCAUACCCUCAUCGUUUAUGGCCUUGAAUUG
rnacentral:lncRNA from 1 species